GCAGGGUGGCCACCCAGUAAUCAGCACAAGUUAGAAUGUGGGCAAAUCGGCAGUUGCUGAGCAGGCACUUUGGUGACCCUAGAUAACUUUGGGCCAAUCGCACGUCCCUAUGAUGGCGACGACACAUUCGAAUGUCUGCCCUAUUAACUUUCAAUGUUACUUUCUGCGCCUACCAUGUUGACCACGGGUAACGGGGUUCCAUUCCGGAGAGGGAGCCUGAGAAACGGCUACCACAUCCAAGGAAGGCAGCAGGCGCGCAAAUUACCCACUCCCGACACAGGGAGGUAGUGAC